AGAGUUUGAUCCUGGCUCAGGACGAACGCUGGCGGCGUGCUUUAUACAUGCAAGUCGAACGAUGAAGUUCCUUCGGGAAUGGAUUAGUGGCGAACGGGUGAGGAACACGUGAGAAACCUGCCUUUCAUUCUGGGAUAACACCGGGAAACCGGUGCUAAUACCGGAUACUCCGUCUUGGCGGCAUCGCCGAGCCGGGAAAAAAUUUUGAUGAAAGAUGGUCUCGCGGCCUAUCAGCUAGUUGGUGAGGUAAUGGCUCACCAAGGCGACGACGGGUAGCCGGCCUGAGAGGGCGACCGGCCACACUGGGACUGAGACACGGCCCAGACUCCUACGGGAGGCAGCAGUAGGGAAUAUUGGGCAAUGGGCGCAAGUCUGACCCAGCGACGCCGCGUGAGGGAUGAAGGUCUUCGGAUUGUAAACCUCUUUCAGUAGGGAAGAAGCGAAAGUGACGGUACCUAAAGAAGAAGCACCGGCUAACUAUGUGCCAGCAGCCGCGGUAAUACAUAGGGUGCAAGCGUUGUCCGGAAUUAUUGGGCGUAAAGAGCUCGUAGGUCGUUUGUCGCGUCGAUUGUGAAAAUCUGAGGCUCAACCUCAGACCUGCAGUCGAUACGGGCAAACUAGAGUGUGGUAGGGGAGACUGGAAUUCCUGGUGUAGCGGUGGAAUGCGCAGAUAUCAGGAGGAACACCUAUGGCGAAGGCAGGUCUCUGGGCCAUAACUGACACUGAGGAGCGAAAGUGCGGGGAGCGAACAGGAUUAGAUACCCUGGUAGUCCGCACCGUAAACGGUGGGCACUAGUUGUGGGAACCUUCCACGGUUUCCGCGACGCAGCAAACGCAUUAAGUGCCCCGCCUGGGGAGUACGAUCGCAAGAUUAAAACUCAAAGGAAUUGACGG
rnacentral:rRNA from 1 species